AGGCAAAAAGGCAAGAAAGUUCAAGUGGGGCUUCCGUCUUGAGAUUAGAUAACAGCUGUAUGUAUUUGAGCUCAGUACUUACUCGGCCGUUCUUGCCAAGGCACAACUAAUAGAGAGGAAUCUUCGUAUUUUUCUUCCAGUAGUAGGGAACCUUAGGCCAUCAGUUUCACACUGUAAACUAGCACCCAUUGCACUUGUUUAGCAGAAUAAGAGAUCUAGGCCAGUGACUCAGACUCCUCAUCAGAUUUCGACAAUAGAACGCGGUAGGACUUGCCAAUAUUGCAGUAAGGAUCAUGAGGACUGACCAUGUUAUCGCCUCAACAACACUU
rnacentral:lncRNA from 1 species